UUGCUGAAUGCUAAUUUUUGAUUUAUAUGCUUGUUAUUUUAAAUUCAGAUUUUUAUGUAUAUAAAUUUAUAUUAUAGAUUUAUUUAUAAGAGUUUUAAGAUUAAAUCUUAUGCAUGUAUUUAUAAAUUAAAUAGUUUAAUCUAAUAUUCUUUUGCUGCAAAAUUUUUGAAAUGCAUGCAUGAAACCCCUGCGUAUCCCAACAAAAGUA
rnacentral:lncRNA from 1 species